rnacentral:rRNA from 1 species
AUUAGAUACCCUAUUAUUCUUUAUUUUAAAAAUUUUAAUACUUAAGCAGUAAGAACUUAAAUGUAAUUUAUUUAAAUUUAUGUGAUGUUUGAAACUUAAAAGGCUUGGCGGUGUUAUAUAUCCUUCCAGGGGAGCUUGCUUAUUAAUUUGAUAAUCCUCAAUUUAUACUUACUUUUUUUUGAAUUUUUAACAAUUUGUGUAUUGCUGUCGUCAGUUUAUUUUGUAAAAAUUUUGGAAAAAACUUAAUAACUUAUCAGUUAUGAUGUCAAGUCAAAAUGCAGUCUAUGAAAAAGGUUUUAAAGUGAGCUACGAUUUAUAAUAUUUAAUCGAAUUAGAUUAUGUAAUUUGUUUAUGAAGUUGGACUUGGUAGUAACAAGAGUUAAAUAGUGAGUUCUUGUGAAUUAGGUUUUAUGAUGCGUACACAUCGCCCG